rnacentral:rRNA from 1 species
AACGAACGCUGGCGGCAUGCCUAACACAUGCAAGUCGAACGAGACCUUCGGGUCUAGUGGCGCACGGGUGCGUAACGCGUGGGAAUCUGCCCUUGGGUUCGGAAUAACAGUGAGAAAUUACUGCUAAUACCGGAUGAUGACGAAAGUCCAAAGAUUUAUCGGGGUAUGAUGAGCCCGCGUUGGAUUAGCUAGUUGGUGGG